AGUGAACGCUGGCGGUAGGCCUAACACAUGCAAGUCGAACGGCAGCACAGUAAGAGCUUGCUCUUACGGGUGGCGAGUGGCGGACGGGUGAGGAAUACAUCGGAAUCUACUUUUUCGUGGGGGAUAACGUAGGGAAACUUACGCUAAUACCGCAUACGACCUACGGGUGAAGGCAGGGGAUCUUCGGACCUUGCGCGAUUGAAUGAGCCGAUGUCGGAUUAGCUAGUUGGCGGGGUAAAGGCCCACCAAGGCGACGAUCCGUAGCUGGUCUGAGAGGAUGAUCAGCCCCACUGGAACUGAGACACGAUCCAGACUCCUACGGGAGGCAGCAGUGGGGAAUAUUGGACAAUGGGCGCAAGCCUGAUCCAGCCAUACCGCGUGGGUGAAGAAGGCCUUCGGGUUGUAAAGCCCUUUUGUUGGGAAAGAAAAGCAGCAGGUUAAUACCCCGCUGUUCUGACGGUACCCAAAGAAUAAGCACCGGCUAACUUCGUG
rnacentral:rRNA from 1 species